AGCGGGUUUUCUGAAGCUAGUGGAACUUUGUAAAGGCAUCGUAGUGUUACCCUGCCUCGCCUCCUUGGUAGAGGUGUAUGGGAAGUCGCGAUCCCUUGGCAGAUGGGUAACAUGACUUGUGGUUAAAGAUGUGCAACCUCUGCAGAGUGUAAAACUGGUAUAUCAGCCGUGCUCACGGUCAAGAGCAGCUCGGACCCUCACAUGAUUAAUUUAUGGAACUAAAUUCAAUUUGUCAUACGCAUUGCAUCGCAGGUGAUGUUGUUACUUUUGUUCUACUAUUUAAUUAGGUUGGUAUUUACUUAUACUUAGUAAUUGCUAAUAAAAAUUUGACCAACUUUAAAAGCAAUGCUCAGCUCUAACCAUCUCCUUUGGUAAGCCUUACACUUCACGUGAGCUCCCACCUUUGGCGAGUUCAUGCACAUUAUUCCCCACAACUUGUUGAGCUAUGAACGUAUGUGAGCUCACUCUUGCUGUCUCACCCCCCCCCACAGGUCAAGAGCAGGUACCGAAGGAUGAGGCGCAUGAAGGAUGCUUUGAUGUGUUCGUGAGAGGUCUAGGCCGUCGUCUCCCAGUCAACUUUAGGUUGCUGGACCGUUGUCUCCUUAUAAUGUAAUUAUUCAUUUUUGUAUAGAACUCCUGAUAUAUAGUAAAGAUGUGACAUUCGAU
rnacentral:lncRNA from 1 species